AUGAGGCAAAUGGUGAUCUCACCAGAUACUGACUGGUUUUCUGAUCCAUGCCCCUAUGCAUGUCCAUGUCCAUGUCCAUUCACCUCUCACAUCACCCAGCCCAUGUCCAUGUCCAUGCACCUCUAUAGGUCCACAGACGACGCAAUCGCAACCACACUGCACACUGCCCUAACCCAACUGGACAAGAGGAAUACCUAUGUGAGAAUGCUGUUCAUCGACUACAGCUCAGCAUUUAACAAUAUAGUACACUCCAAACUCGUCAACAAGCUCGAAACCCUGGGUCUCAACCCCGCCCUGUGCCAAACAAUGUCCAUGUACCUCUCAAGUCACCCAACCCAGGUCCAUGAAACUCUCACAUCACCCAACCCAUCUCUAUAUGCAUGCACCACUCACAUCACCCAACAAUGUCCAUUCAUCUCUCACAUCACCCAACAAUGUCCAUGCAACUCUCACAUCACCCAGCCAAUUUCCACAGAUCUCUUACAUUACCCAGGCAUGUCCAUGCACCUCUCACAUCACACAUCCAAUUUCCACGCACCUCUUACAUCACCCAACCAUGUCCAUGCACCUCUCACAUCACUCAACCAUGUCCAUGCACCUCUCACAUCACCCAACCCAUGUUCAUGUCCAUGCACUUCUCUCAUCAAUCAGCCAAUGUCUUUGUCCACGCACCUCUCACAUCACCGAACCAUGCCCAUAUCCAUGCACAUCUCACAUAACCCAACCAUGUUCUUGCACCUCUCACAUCACCCAGUCCAUGUCCAUGCACCUCUCACAUCACCCAACCAUGUCCAUGUCCAUGCACCUCUCACAUCUUCCAACCCAUGUCCAUGUACAUACACCACUCACAUCACCCAAACAUGUCCAUGCACCUCUCACAUCACCCAACCCAUGUCCAUGCACCUCUCACAUUACCCAACCCAUGUCCAUGUCACUCCACCUCUCACAUUACCCAACCCAUGUUCAUGUCCAUGCACCUCUCACAUCAUCCAACCCAUGUCUUUGUCCAUGCACCUCUCACAUCACCCAGUCCAUGUUCAUGCACCUCUCACAUCACCCAGCCCAUGUCCUUCUCCUUGCACCUCUCACAUCUUCCAACCCAUGUCCAUGCACCACUCACAUCACCCAAACAUGUCCAUGCACCUCUCAUAUUGCCCUGUUCAAGUCCAUGCACCUCUCACAUCACCCAACCAUUUCCAUGUCCAUGCACCUCUCACAUCAUCCAACCCAUGUCCUUGUUCAUACACCACUCACAUCAUCCAACCCAUGUCCUUGUCCAUACACCACUCACAUCACCCAACCCAUGUCCUUGUCCAUGCACCACUCACAUCACCCAACCCAUGUCCAUGCUGAUGGCAUUUCCUCAUUUCUUCUUCUUUCCUCCC
rnacentral:lncRNA from 1 species